rnacentral:sRNA from 1 species
AACAAAGUAGCGUUUCCCGGUUGAAGAGAAAAGCGGGCGCUAAUAUAGUGGCCAG